rnacentral:lncRNA from 1 species
UCUAACCUGAUCCCUCAUCCGCUUUUCCCGCUCCUUCUCUGCCGCCACCUCCUCCCUCUCCCUCCUCCUCUCCUCCCUUUUCGCCACCGCCUCCCUCAGUUCCAAAACGCUAAACCCAACUCCCCUAUUUUGUUUUACCUCCUCCUUAAAAUUAUCAUCAAAAUCAUCAACAAUGUACUCACACUCCUCCUCAUCCUCAUCACAAUCAUCAUCGUCAUCAAUAAUAUCAUUAUCAGAAUUCGAAAAUCUGAGGAACUAGUGGCAUAUGUUCUGGACCUUGAUGGAGACGUCGCGCCAUGACCACGUGAAAGGGAAGGCGGAGGGAUUACGGUGGU